AUUGAACGCUGGCGGCAUGCCUUACACAUGCAAGUCGAACGGCAGCGCGGGAGCAAUCCUGGCGGCGAGUGGCGAACGGGUGAGUAAUACAUCGGAACGUGCCCAAUCGUGGGGGAUAACGCAGCGAAAGCUGUGCUAAUACCGCAUACGAUCUACGGAUGAAAGCAGGGGACCGCAAGGCCUUGCGCGAAUGGAGCGGCCGAUGGCAGAUUAGGUAGUUGGUGAGGUAAAGGCUCACCAAGCCUUCGAUCUGUAGCUGGUCUGAGAGGACGACCAGCCACACUGGGACUGAGACACGGCCCAGACUCCUACGGGAGGCAGCAGUGGGGAAUUUUGGACAAUGGGCGCAAGCCUGAUCCAGCCAUGCCGCGUGCAGGAUGAAGGCCUUCGGGUUGUAAACUGCUUUUGUACGGAACGAAACGGCCUUUUCUAAUAAAGAGGGCUAAUGACGGUACCGUAAGAAUAAGCACCGGCUAACUACGUGCCAGCAGCCGCGGUAAUACGUAGGGUGCAAGCGUUAAUCGGAAUUACUGGGCGUAAAGCGUGCGCAGGCGGUGAUGUAAGACAGUUGUGAAAUCCCCGGGCUCAACCUGGGAACUGCAUCUGUGACUGCAUCGCUGGAGUACGGCAGAGGGGGAUGGAAUUCCGCGUGUAGCAGUGAAAUGCGUAGAUAUGCGGAGGAACACCGAUGGCGAAGGCAAUCCCCUGGGCCUGUACUGACGCUCA
rnacentral:rRNA from 1 species